AGAAGCUCAAAAUAAAAGGGGAACUUGUGCACUGCACAUGAUUAUUUACAAGGAGAGAAAGCUGCAUUAGCAUGAAAAAUAAGUCUUCUACUAGAUUAGAGAUUACAGAACCACAUGCUUAAGGAGCGAUAUUAUGGAGAUCUUGGAGAUGGUUUAAAGUGAUUUAUGCUUGGGAUUAAAAAAGUAUUCUGUAAGAGUAACCUGCAAAUCCCAGCAAGGGUGAUUUCAAAGCUCACUGAAAAGCAGGAUCUUUUCCUUUAAAAGGGAUUGUUUUUCUUCUAAUUGCAAAAGAAAACCCUGCUGGAGAAGUAAGAGUGCUGUUAUCCAGCAGUCCUGACUGUCAGAAGGCAGCUGCUGUUGCUAGGAGCAAGCGAAGGGUACAGACAAAAUUGAUUCGAGUUGGACUGUGAUGACAGCUAUGAAUGCAAGUCCUACUUCUGGAAGGGCACACUAGCUUUUAUGAGGAGGGAGCAUUCAAAGAUGAAGGAGACAUGCAACAACCUUCUUUAUUCUUUUGCACAAGUGCCUGCGUCCUGAUGCUUCGCUUCCUUGGGAGUGGAGGGAGGAGCCAUCGCAGUCCUUUCCUGCAUAAUGAUUCCAUUUUGGACUAUCUUAAGCUCUCAAAGAAAUUCCACAAUACCGAACUCCGAAAGAGAAGGUGGUUAAGAUGCUAUGAUUCCUUUUUUUACAAGAAAUUCUUUUUAAGAUUUUUAAGCAAAGAUUCCCAUUGUUUCUCUAGUAGCAACCAGGAACAAAUAGUGAGCAAUAUUGGGAAGAGGAUGUCUGUGCCAAAUUAAAAACAGCAUCUAUUAUGUUUCUAUGUAAUGUAUUAUGUGGCUGUAAUACUGCCUUUUUACAAAUACUGGCAUUUUGAAAACUGUAAGAAAUUAAACUUUGUUCACUCUUAAAUAUGAAUUUGAUUUUAAG
rnacentral:lncRNA from 1 species